rnacentral:rRNA from 1 species
CCUACGAGUUGCAGCAGUGAGGAAUAUUGGUCAAUGUGCGCGAGCCUGAACCAGCCCAGUAGCGUGAAGGAUGACUGCCCUACGGGUUGUAAACUUCUUUUAUAAAGGAAUCAAGUGAGGCACGUGUGCCUUUUUGUAUGUACUUUAUGAAUAAGGAUCGUCUAACUCCGUGCCCGCAGCCGCGGUAAUACGGCGGAUCCGAGCGUUAUCCGGAUUUAUUGGGGUUAAAGGGAGCGUAGAUGGGUUGUUAAGUCAGUUGUGAAGGUUUGCGGCUCAACCGUAAAAUUGCAAUUGAUACUGGCAGUCUUGAGUACAGUUGAGGUAGGCGGAAUUCGUGGUGUAGCGGUGAAAUGCUUAGAUAUCACGAAGAACUCCGAUUGCGAAGGCAGCUUACUAAACUGCCACUGACAUUGAUGCUCGAAAGUGUGGGUAUCAAACAGGAUUAGAUACCCUUGUAGUC